UUUCUAUACAAUCCAGUAAUCCGAACAUUCCGAAUAAUCCGGCACCCUCUGGUUUUUAAUAGUGCCGGAUUAGUGAGAUUCUACUUUAACAUUGUAAAUUUUA